GACGAACGCUGGCGGCGUGCCUAAUACAUGCAAGUCGGACGCAGUUGCGAACGGGUGAGUAACGCGUAGGUAACUAACUAUUAGAGGGGGAUAAAUAUUGGAAACGAUAGCUAAUACCGCAUAAUAGUAGAGGGACCUACGUUGUAUUUGCUAGUAGGUCGGGUAAUGGCCUAACUAGGCCACGGUACAAAGCCGAACUGGGAGGGGGAUCGGCCAAACUGGGACUUGGGAAUGGCCCAGACUCCUACGGGGGGGAGCAGUAGGGAAACUUCCGCAAUGGGGGGAACCCUUACCGAGGAACGCCGCGUGGGUGAAGAAAGUUUUCGGAUUGUAAAGCUCUGUUGUUAAGGAAGCGGUACUUAACCAGAAAGGGACGGCUAACUACGUGCCAGCCGCCGCGGUAAUUC
rnacentral:rRNA from 1 species